ensembl:lncRNA
CUCGCCUGCGAUCGGAUCCUUUCAGCAAACCUCGCAUCUCUUGAGCAAAUCUUUACAUUUCUGAACAUCUCUAUUCACCUUUUUAACAUCUUUACCACUAAUCUGAGCAUUUUCCUGCACGAAUGUCAUCUUCUGAAGAAAUGCCAUUUUUCUCCAUCUGGGAUUAUUCCAGCUCUGGACCGCGGGUUGAGGCUGGUGACCUGCAACACCUUGUCCCGACUCCCCAUGUGUACCACCAGGAGCAGCACUUUACUCCCAGCACUCAGGGCCAGGUUUAUACCAACCUGCCUGACCAGCCGGAUUACGCAAGCUGGGAUUCGUCCAACUCUGGACCGUGGGUUGAGACUGGUGACUUCCAGCACCUUGUCCCUGCCCCCCAUGUUUACCUCCAGGAAGAGCAGUUCACCCCAAGCACUCAGGGCCAGGUGUAUUACAUCCUGCCUGCUCAGCCGGAUUACGCAAGCUGGGAUUCGUCCAACUCUGGACCGUGGGUUGAGGCUGGUGAUGUCCAACACGUUGUCCCUGACCCCCACGUUUACCACCUGGAACAGCAGUUCACCCCCAGCACUCAAGGCCAGGUGUAUUACAUCCUGCCUGCUCAGGUGUAUUACCCCAGCUGGGGCACUAUUUCCUGCUCUGGACCGUUGGUUGAAGCUGGUGACCUGCCACAUCCUAUCCCAUCCUCCCACGUGUACCACCAGGAGCAGAUAUUCACUCCCAGCGCUCGGGGCCAGCAGAUAGAGCUUCCAGGGAUGGCUGCAGUGUCAGAGGACCAAUAUUGCACCUUCAUGCCUGCUGGAGAGUAUCCUGUUGAUGGAUUGUACGGCCCUGCUGAUAUUCCUCCUGUACAAGAACAAGUCCUUCCUCCUCUGGACAAGCAGGAGCACACACUGAACUGGGGUCCUAGUAGAAGACAUCAGGGCCACAGAUCCACAGAUCCAAGUCCCUAAUGAAUGAAUUAAAUAUAGAUCUACAUCGUCAAAACAAAGCUUCCAAGAUUUAUCAUGCUUACAAUACUUGCACAUCACACACAACACUGUUGCCCAACUUAUAACCAAAUUCAAAUAGACUGCGGACCAACCGAGAAGUGGACAUCCACGAACAUCCACCAACGAAGGCACAACCGACGUGGUGCUGGCAUACAUAGUCCAUUAUGUAUGGAGACUUUUGGAACAACCUGUAUAUUCCCCCCAAAAAAUAAUUUACUACAAAUCAACGACAGACAAACAAACAAACAAAAAAUAACAAUAAAAUCUGGAUUAAAAAACCUCUGGUGUUUCUAAAGUUUUUUCUGAAACACUAUCCCAGAGGUUAAGAUAAUUCUUUAUUGUCUGAAUUGUGGGUAAUCAGGAUGAACAGUGCCUCAGAUGAGUGAAGCACUCAGAAUGGACCAGGAUGCUUCAAGACAUCAGAAAAAUCUUUGAAGCAAAACAAUUUGGAUCUUUAUAGUUUUUUUUUAUACUUUGUAGUCAAGCCAAACUUAAAAGGCAAAUGUAAUGUG